AGUUAAUUGAAAAAAAACCAACGCUAUUAGGUACACAUACUGUACAAUUUUUGAUAAUUUAUAAAAUUACUGCAAAAUAAUCUCAAACUUAUUAUACUCAUGCAGUCAUGCUUCAUUAAAUUGUUCGACGAAUGCAUACACUCAUCUGACUUGUGUCUGAAUCGUAUCUCACAUCGCAUGCAUAUCCUUUGUGUAAACAUUCUACUUAGUCGAAUAUUGUUUUCCCAUAGCUAUUAUGAAUUCCGAUAGUCUGUUCGUAAAGUAUAAUAUGUAUAUUCAUCAUAUAACACCAGAACUUAUGUACAACUUCAAUUGAAAUUGUUAUCCGAAAAAAAUACGUUUAGGUAGCAGAUAGCCAAUCAAAUUAUUGUGAUAUUUGAAAAAAUGAAUAUCGCCUAAGUAGGUACCUACCAUCAUCUAUAUUAAAUUAACAGACUAUUAUAUCCACACUCGGAUUAAUUUCGAUUUUCUACAUUUCUAAAAUUACA